GACUAGUAUUGAUCUCUGGGGCCAGUCUAGAUCCCGCCAGGAGUAACGACCACCGGCAGGUGUGUCCGGGGCGUUACAGCACCCAACCUCGAAAGGUAGGCACCCGCCAACCCCGAGCGCGGGUUCGUCGACGUCGGGGCCGUCGCACCCAUCAGUCCGGCGGGGGUCGUCGCGGCGUUGUUCAACAACGAUGCGCGUGUCUCCCCUCCGCCUGUCCUUUGGGGCUCGUCGUUGGCCUGGACGUGCUCGAGGGUCAGAAGAGGCCAUCGAGACGUCGUCGGGGUCUUUGAUUCUGCUGUGUUCGCGCUGGCUGCCGUUGCGGGGAUUGCACCGUGGGGGUGGCCCCUUUCGUACGGCCAGCAGUUCGAGCCGUCGUCAUCGCUUGGGGAGGCCAUGGCGUGCCAGCUCGCUACGAGCCCCAACCUUCGGCGAAAUCGAGCAGACUUUGGAUGGUGGCACGCCAUUCGUCCAUCUGCUCGGCCGCUGGCGGAAACCUCAGCAGUAGCUGAGCCCGCGCCAUGGCCUUUGCGGCUGUGCUUGGCAUGGGUGAUGAUGAAGUAGAUCGCAUCGUCACUCGGCUCUUGACGGUUGCAACGGCGGCAGCACCGCGUCUCCGCUGCUGUGGAGCGGUCACCUGGAUGGCGUGGGGGGUGCGGCGAAGGCGCUCGAGGGCCAGCGGCUCUGUUGGGCGCAACAACUUGGUCGACCCGUCCCGGGGGAGGUGCGUGCGGCGGUCACUGUCGUGGUGGGUGCGGCCGGAGGGCGGCGAUUCGCCCCGGAUCGAGCGCCGUCGCUACAACUAUGCCCGUCGGCGAGAGAAGGGGGCGCGGGCGGAGUAACCCCCUCACCCGUAUCUUGCGGAGCGUAGCCAUCGGGGCGUUGCUGGUGCUGUUCUCCUCCGAUGCCUUCCGCUCCUACGUCGGCCGCGGGAGAAGUGGUGACGAUGCCUC